GCCGUCGAAGAUGUAGAGGUAGUCCCCGGCCAGCGGGGUCUUCAGCCAGGCUGGACCCUCUGUGCCGGCGGGUGCAGCGUUGGGCCGCGGUGGGGGCACGGGGAGGCCCGGCGUCAGCCCCUCGGGCAGGGCGUUAUUGCAGAGCGCAGGGUCGGAGCCGGACAGGCCGCGCGUCGCUUUGAUCCCGGUGCACCCAUGGGUGUUUUCGGGCUCAUCCCAGGAGAUGAGGGGCGGCUCGGCACGCUGCUUGGCCCGGCUCUCCUCCUUGUCCUGCCGCAGGCGCGACAGAGCGUCGUACUCCAUCUGCAGGGCCUCGGCCAGUGCCAGCUCCUUGCGGCUGAUGCCCACCGACUCCAGGGACUUCCAGUGCUCUCCAUUGCCGCGCGUGGCGGACAUCGCUCCGGGAUCCUAACCGCGCUCAGGGCUCAGGAGAAAGGCAUGCUGCACCGCCGGCCACCUGCUCCGAGCGGACCCGGCGGGCAGCGCGGGGCCGCGCCGCGGCGGCGGCGGCUGCGGGCGGACGGAG
rnacentral:lncRNA from 1 species